AGUGAACGCUGGCGGCAGGCCUAACACAUGCAAGUCGAACGGCAGCACAGUAAGAGCUUGCUCUUACGGGUGGCGAGUGGCGGACGGGUGAGGUAUACACCGGAAUCUACUUUUUCGUGGGGGCUAACGUAGGGAAAUUUACGCUAAUACCGCAUACGUCCUACGGGUGAAAGCAGGGGAUCUUCGGACCUUGCGCGAUUGAAUGAGCCGACGUCGGAUUAGCUAGUUGGCGGGGUAAAGGCCCACCAAGGCGACGAUCCGUAGGUGGUCUGAGAGGAUGAUUCGCCACACUGGAACUGAGACACGGUCCAGACUCCUACGGGAGGCCGCAGUGGGGAAUAUUGGGCAAUGGGCGCAAGCCUGAUCCAGCAAUACCGCGUGGGUGAAGAAGGCCUUCGGGUUGUAAAGCCAUUUUGUUGGGAAAGAAAAGCAGCAGGUUAAUACCCCGCUGUUCUGACGGUACCCAAAGAAUAAGCACCGGCUAACUUCGUG
rnacentral:rRNA from 1 species